GUCGAGCGAAGCGGUUUCGAUGAAGUUUUCGGAUGGAUUUGAGAUUGACUUAGCGGCGGACGGGUGAGUAACGCGUGGGUAACCUGCCUUACACUGGGGGAUAACAGUUAGAAAUGACUGCUAAUACCGCAUAAGCGCACAGGGCCGCAUGGUCUGGUGUGAAAAACUCCGGUGGUGUAAGAUGGACCCGCGUCUGAUUAGGUAGUUGGUGGGGUAACGGCCCACCAAGCCGACGAUCAGUAGCCGACCUGAGAGGGUGACCGGCCACAUUGGGACUGAGACACGGCCCAAACUCCUACGGGAGGCAGCAGUGGGGAAUAUUGGACAAUGGGCGAAAGCCUGAUCCAGCGACGCCGCGUGAGUGAAGAAGUAUUUCGGUAUGUAAAGCUCUAUCAGCAGGGAAGAAAAUGACGGUACCUGACUAAGAAGCCCCGGCUAACUACGUGCCAGCAGCCGCGGUAAUACGUAGGGGGCAAGCGUUAUCCGGAUUUACUGGGUGUAAAGGGAGCGUAGACGGUUUAGCAAGUCUGAAGUGAAAGCCCAGGGCUCAACCCCGGUACUGCUUUGGAAACUGUUAGACUUGAGUGCAGGAGAGGUAAGUGGAAUUCCUAGUGUAGCGGUGAAAUGCGUAGAUAUUAGGAGGAACACCAGUGGCGAA
rnacentral:rRNA from 1 species